rnacentral:rRNA from 1 species
AGAGUUUGAUCCUGGCUCAGGAUGAACGCUAGCGGCAGGCCUAACACAUGCAAGUCGAGGGGCAGCAUAGAGAUAGCUUGCUAUUUUGGUGGCGACCGGCGCACGGGUGCGUAACGCGUAUGCAACCUACCUUGUACUGGGGUAUAGCCCGGAGAAAUUCGGAUUAAUCCCCCCAUAGUAUUUAUGAAUCGCAUGGUUUAUAGAUUAAAGGCUACGGUACGAGAUGGGCAUGCGUCCUAUUAGCUAGUUGGAGAGGUAAUGGCUCACCAAGGCUACGAUAGGUAGGGGGCCUGAGAGGGUUAUCCCCCACACUGGUACUGAGACACGGACCAGACUCCUACGGGAGGCAGCAGUGAGGAAUAUUGGUCAAUGGGCGCAAGCCUGAACCAGCCAUGCCGCGUGCAGGAAGAAUGCCUUAUGGGUUGUAAACUGCUUUUAUUUGGGAAUAAACCCCUGGUCGAGUAUCAGGGCUGAAGGUACUAAAUGAAUAAGCACCGGCUAACUCCGUGCCAGCAGCCGCGGUAAUACGGAGGGUGCAAGCGUUAUCCGGAAUCAUUGGGUUUAAAGGGUCCGCAGGCGGGCAUAUAAGUCAGUGGUGAAAGCCUACAGCUUAACUGUAGAACUGCCAUUGAUACUGUAUGUCUUGAAUUCGGUCGAAGUGGGCGGAAUGUGUAGUGUAGCGGUGAAAUGCAUAGAUAUUACACAGAACACCGAUAGCGAAGGCAGCUCACUAGGCCUGAAUUGACGCUCAUGGACGAAAGCGUGGGGAUCAAACAGGAUUAGAUACCCUGGUAGUCCACGCCGUAAACUAUGAUUACUCGUUUUCGGCGAUAUACAGUCGGAGACUAAGCGAAAGUGAUAAGUAAUCCACCUGGGGAGUACGAUCGCAAGGUUGAAACUCAAAGGAAUUGACGG